AUUGAACGCUGGCGGCAUGCCUUACACAUGCAAGUCGAACGGCAGCGGGGGUAGCUUGCUACCUGCCGGCGCGUGGCGAACGGGUGAGUAAUACAUCGGAACGUGCGCUGUAGUGGGGGAUAACUAUUCGAAAGACUAGAUAAUACCGCACACGAACUGAGGGUGAAAGUGGGGGAUGCCAAGGCCUCAUGUCACAGGCGAGGCCGAUGUCUGAUUAGCGAGUUGGUGGGGUACAGGCCCACCCAGGCGACGAUCAGUAGCUGGUCUGAGAGGACGAUCAGCCACACUGGGACUGAGACACGGACCAGACUCCUACGGGAGGCAGCAGUGGGGAAUUUUGGACAAUGGGGGCAACCCUGAUCCAGCAAUGCCGCGUGUGUGAAGAAGGCCUUCGGGUUGUAAAGCACUUUUGUCCGGAAAGAAAUCGCACUGGUUAAUACCUGGUGUGGAUGACGGUACCGGAAGAAUAAGGACCGGCUAACUACGUGCCAGCCGCCGCCGUAA
rnacentral:rRNA from 1 species